rnacentral:siRNA from 1 species
GUGGAAGCCAGAUCAUCAACCUCC